UGAUCCCCCACACUGGUACUGAGACACGGACCAGACUCCUACGGGAGGCAGCAGUGAGGAAUAUUGGUCAAUGGGCGCAAGCCUGAACCAGCCAUCCCGCGUGAAGGAAGAAGGCGCUAUGCGUUGUAAACUUCUUUUCCAGGGGAAUAAAAUUUUGUACGUGUACGGAAUUGAAGGUACCCUGGGAAUAAGCAUCGGCUAACUCCGUGCCAGCAGCCGCGGUAAUACGGAGGAUGCGAGCGUUAUCCGGAUUUAUUGGGUUUAAAGGGUGCGUAGGCGGACUAAUAAGUCAGUGGUGAAAACCUGCAGCUUAACUGUAGAACUGCCAUUGAUACUGUUGGUCUUGAGUGUGGUCAAGGUAGGCGGAAUGUGUAAUGUAGCGGUGAAAUGCUUAGAUAUUACACAGAACACCGAUUGCGAAGGCAGCUUGCUGGGCCAUUACUGACGCUGAUGCACGAAAGCGUGGGGAUCGAACAGGAUUAGAUACCCUGGUAGUCCACGCCGUAAACGAUGAUCACUCGCUGUUGGCGAUACACAGUCAGCGGCUAAGCAAAAGCAUUAAGUGAUCCACCUGGGGAGUACGGCCGCAAGGCUGAAACUCAAAGGAAUUGACGGGGGCCCGCACAAGCGGAGGAACAUGUGGUUUAAUUCGAUGAUACGCGAGGAACCUUACCUGGGC
rnacentral:rRNA from 1 species